rnacentral:rRNA from 1 species
GACGAACGCUGGCGGCGUGCCUAACACAUGCAAGUCGAACGGCAACGCCCUGCUUUUGUGCGGUGCUCGAGUGGCGAACGGGUGAGUAAUACGUGAGUACCCUUCCCUUGAUUUUGGGAUAACCUCAGGAAACUGGGGUUAUACCCCGAACGGACCCCCGGUUGCAGGGUGGGGGCUGGAAAGUUUAGGCGGUUGGGGUUGGACUCGCGGCUUAUCAGCUUGUUGGUGGGGUAGUGGCUUACCAAGGCCUUGAAGGGUAGCCGGCCUGAGAGGGUCACCGGCCACAUUGGGACUGAGGUACGGCCCAGACUGCUACGGGAGGCAGAAGUGGGGAAUAUUGCACAAUGGGCGGAAGCCUGAUGAAGCAGCGCCGCGUGCGGGAUGACGGCCUUCGGGUUGUAAACCGCUUUCGCCUGAGACGAAGCGUGAGUGACGGUAAUGGGUGAAGAAGCACCGGCUAACUACGUG